rnacentral:rRNA from 1 species
GUGCCAGCAGCCGCGGUAAGACGAACCGUACGAACGUUAUUCGGAAUCACUGGGCUUAAAGGGUGCGUAGGCUGUGCGGAAAGUUGGGUGUGAAAUCCCUCGGCUCAACCGAGGAAUUGCGCCCAAAACUACCGUGCUCGAGGGAGACAGAGGUGAGUGGAACUUCGGGUGGAGCGGUGAAAUGCGUUGAUAUCCGAAGGAACACCAGUGGCGAAAGCGACUCACUGGGUCUCUACUGACGCUGAGGCACGAAAGCUAGGGUAGCGAACGGGAUUAGAUACCCCGGUAGUCCUAGCUGUAAACGAUGAGCACUGGGUUGAAGGGCCCUCCAUAGCCUUUCAGCCGGAGCGAAAGUGUUAAGUGCUCCGCCUGGGGAGUAUGGUCGCAAGGCUGAA